AAGCCAGGGGAGCGAAAGGGAUUAGAUACCCCCGUAGUCCUGGCCGUAAACGAUGAACACUAGGUGUCGGGGGAAUCGACCCCUUCGGUGUCGUAGCUAACGCGUUAAGUGUUCCGCCUGGGGAGUACGCACGCAAGUGUGAAACUCAAAGGAAUUGACGGGGGCCCGCACAAGCGGUGGAGUAUGUGGUUUAAUUCGAUGCAACGCGAAGAACCUUACCAGGGUUUGACAUCCUGCGAACCUCUUAGAAAUUUGAGGGUGCCUUCGGGAAUGCAGUGACAGGUGGUGCAUGGCUGUCGUCAGCUCGUGUCGUGAGAUGUUGGGUUAAGUCCUGCAACGAGCGCAACCCACGUUUUUAGUUGCCAGCAUUUAGUUGGGCACUCUAGAAAGACCGCCGGUGAUAAACCGGAGGAAGGUGUGGAUGACGUCAAGUCAUCAUGCCCCUUACACCCUGGGCUACACACGUACUACAAUGCUACGGACAAAGGGCAGCAAACUCGCGAGAGCUAGCAAAUCCCAUAAACCGUGGCUCAGUUCAGAUCGUAGGCUGCAACUCGCCUACGUGAAGUAGGAAUCGCUAGUAAUCGCAGGUCAGCAUACUGCGGUGAAUACGUUCCCGGGCCUUGUACACACCGCCCGUCACACCAUGGAAGUUGGCCAUGCCCGAAGUCGUUACUCCAACCCUUGUGGAGGAGGACGCCGAAGGUGGGGCUAAUGACUGGGGUGAAGUCGUAACAAGGUAGCC
rnacentral:rRNA from 1 species